GCGCGACGUUAGGGGACACUCGGCCAACAGUGGAAGCCACUGCGAAAGGAGUCGGUCCCUAAGAAGAGAACAGGCCAGGUUUGUGAAAGUGCUUGACGAGAUUAUUAGCUGCCUCCCUCAUGUCUUCAUGGACUUCAACAGACAGCACUCCUGCCAAGAGACAAAAACAAGAGUACAGUCAGAGAGGAUCCCAGCACAGCGCGUACGCUCUGGGAAGGCGAAGCUAACUCCGGCGGCGUCCCGGUCCAUCUUCCAAAAUCCUCCUCGCCACCAGGUGACACCAACUGCCCAAUGAGGACUCGUUCCAAGCUGCCGUCGCCCACGCCUUUCCCCAACCAUCGGCCACAAGGGAAUCUGGCAGGGAGGACCAUGCAUAUUUUAGAAGCAGAAGAAAAAAUGAUGCAGGGAAAAAAGAUUGUCCUGAAGUGCACCUGUACAACUAAACAUGUAACCAAACUAGAGACAUUUUCAAAAAACAGCAGCUUGUGCUUGUAUUUGAUUUUAUUAGAAUGAGUAGGUGAACCUAAUUUUGCGGCUGGUGAGUGUACCCAAAGAGGAAGUGUAAAAACCUGGCUGGCAGAGCACAAAUGGCACACAUUAAAAACUAGAGUGUCAUCUAUUUUGCAUAUUUGAAAAGCAUGUAGCCUUCAAAGAGUGACUGCUAUUCUUACUUGUAUGUGUGUCCCGUGAUCUCAUUGUAGACCAUCACACAGUCGAUGAGACACUUGGCAAGCAGGCCCGAGUUCUCCUGUCCCAGCUGCAAAGUACUCAGUCGGCCCAGGUUCUUACACUGGAACAAAAACAACUGUUGUUCACGCAAACUCAUAAGCUGCGAUAAAUUUGCCUUUGCCUCAAAUUAGAUCAUUAUGAUGAAAUGACUGCUAUUGUUUUAUCCUUUUUAUUUGUAAUUUUUUUAUAAUUUUUUGUAAUUUAUUAUAAAUACAUAUACAUUUUAUUAUAAUAAUAAUUAUAAUAUAUAUUAUAAAUAUUUUUAUUUAUGAGACAAACCUGGAAAAAAAUCUCCUGGCUAUUCUUGGGGAUCUGUCUCACUCCAGAAUCUCCCAUUUCUCCAGAUACACACACCCACGGGUUGACCGUCGCCAUGGCGAUGCUCAGCUUCUUCAUGGGGAUGAUAGCGACUCGAUAGGGAAUGUCUGUAGAGAGGCGGGUUGUUUUUUAGCAAUAAUAUCACUGCUUGUUUUUAUCAUCCAUCUGUCAGUCUAUUCAUCCAUCUAUCUAUCUAUUCAUCUAUCUGUUGUCAUUAAGAGUUUUUUUUUCUUCCGUGUAAAACACUCUGGAUUUGCAUUACGGAUGAAUGGUGCUGUUCAAAUAACCUUGCCUUGCCUAUGG